rnacentral:rRNA from 1 species
GACGAACGCUGGCGGCGUGCUUAACACAUGCAAGUCGAACGGAAAGGCCCUGCUUUUGUGGGGUGCUCGAGUGGCGAACGGGUGAGUAACACGUGAGUAACCUGCCCUUGACUUUGGGAUAACUUCAGGAAACUGGGGCUAAUACCGGAUAGGAGCUCCUGCUGCAUGGUGGGGGUUGGAAAGUUUCGGCGGUUGGGGAUGGACUCGCGGCUUAUCAGCUUGUUGGUGGGGUAGUGGCUUACCAAGGCUUUGACGGGUAGCCGGCCUGAGAGGGUGACCGGCCACAGUGGGACUGAGGUACGGCCCAGACUCCUACGGGAGGCAGCAGUGGGGAAUAUUGCACAAUGGGCGGAAGCCUGAUGCAGCAACGCCGCGUGCGGGAUGACGGCCUUCGGGUUGUAAACCGCUUUCGCCUGUGACGAAGCGUGAGUGACGGUAAUGGGUAAAGAAGCACCGGCUAACUACGU